UUUUUGUUGUUAUUUUCAUAAUGUGUCUCAUAAUAAUAUUAGCAAUAUCAAAUUUUGGGAUAUUAUAUAAAUAAAGUAACUUAAAACAGAUGACUUUCUGGUAGGUUGGUAAAGGCUGUCCGACACCAGUGACUGAUAUCAAUACCAUUAUGGAUAGCUGAUACAAUACCACAUACAUUGAUUGUUACAUAUAUAAUGACAUAGAAUUUAGGCCUUAAAAAAAAAUCUGUGUUUCCGAUAACAUCAUUUUGAAAAAUAGGGUCGGAAGGUCGGAAUUCUUUUUUUUUUUUUUUUUUUUUUGACAUUGUAAACGAAAUCUGAAAAAUCAUCAUGGUUUUCCCAAGUCCAAGUCCAUAAUUAGUUUCAAAUACAGGAAGUCGGCCAUUUGCAAUGUUUUUG
rnacentral:lncRNA from 1 species